ACCCCCUUACAAGAUGGCACUGGCCACGCCACUUGUAACAUGUUUACCCGCACCAAUCCUUCUCUUCCGCCCCUGGUUUCCCGCCAGCCCCACCCUCUCCUCAAGGGCCCCAACAAUCAAAAUUGCCGCGAGGCUAGUCCCUGUGCGGGGGAAGGCAGGGUUGGAUAUUCCCUAAUCCUUCUUCUAGCUCCUCCUCUGGUGGGACGGAUCGCUGUCGAGGACCUCCCAUCAGAGGACCCUCCUUCUUAGAAGAUCACUCCCCUUCUCGGGGGGUGGGUCUCCUUUGAGGGAAGGGGGGGCUGAAACCCCGGACCGGAAACCCACCAUUUUGUCUUCCCCCUAAGAUGGCGGCGCCCUGGUCCACUCCUUACCGAUUCCCCUUAUCCAUCAUGACAGUCACUAAUCAAGUGAUUGUCUGAUUCCCCUAUCCCAUUCCUUGAUGCACCCUACCCAAUGUUCCCUUUUAUUUAAUAAUCUAUUUGUUGAGUUAUAUUUUAUAGAAAGAAAUAUCAUCCUAUUUAGUUUAUACACACGGUAUUAUGCCCACUCCGUAAAUAAAGAAUAAAAUCAGACAAGCCAUGUCACCGCUCGCUGCCUUAACUCUGCUAUACGAAUUUCGUGAAGGCAAACAUCUCCAGCGCCGCGACAGCCCAAGUUUCAAAUCAGAUCAAGCUAUGAAUCCUGCUGAGUGUUUUACCCCGAAUUCAGAAUUUAUUUAUGUCAAUUUUAUACGCUUUAUAUAUUAAGUUGUUUUAUUGUAAUUGUAAUUAAUUUGUACUUUUCUGAUGUUUUUCAACUUAUUUCCGUUUAGUAAUUUGUAAUGUUACUAUAUGAUUUUGUUGUGUUUUACAUAUGAAGUUUAUAUUAUUUAUAUGCAGUAUUAAUUUGUUUAAACAUCAGAACUCUCCUUUUGCAAAAAGAAAGGGGGAGAUGAGGGAGCGUGUUUUUUAUUCUUUCAGUGUCUGUUCACACCCCCUCCCCCCCAUCUCACUCCUAACCCCCUUUUCUCCAAGAUGUGAAUCCUCCCUUCCCCUGCCACUUUCCCUGCCCCUUUUCCCAGAACAGUCCCUGUCUAUUUAGUGAGGCUCAACACCCUAUUGGUUACCUUGUGUUACUCCACUCCCCUGUUUCCCCUGAUAAGUUUAUGAUAUGUUAGUCCUGCCCCAAACUCCUCCCCUGUUAUUCCCCUAUUGGUUGCUGUUCCUAUACGCCUCCUCAUAAGUUCUUGUAUAAAACAUCUGUCCGCCCGCCCCAAGGCGUCUUGGGCCACGCGAAAUAAACGGAACCUGUUCACCCCAAGUCCCGUGCCGCCUCCAUCUGUCCCCGCACCAACAACUGGGACUGCAGAGCUUCAUAGGGGGCCCCUCCUCUUCCCUCGCCGCCCAGCACGCCCGCGCUCAGGGUGUCGCAGUGAAAGGGUGCCGACUGCGACGCAACAAAAAGGAACCUCCUCCAAGGAAGAUGACAUCAGAAUGAGUUAAGAGCAUGUGUGUCUACUUCAUGAAAGACUGUGGGGCAUUUACCCACCACCUCUACUAAAGAUUUGCAAUCAGUGUGCUGGAAGAAAGAUCUCAAUAUCCCACUGACUCAAUAUUUCUUCAUCAUCAAGUAUUAAACAAGAUUUUUUUUUCAAUUCAAGUAUAGUAAAACAGUAUUGAUUGAGGUACAAUCCUCAACCAGGUGAAUUCAGUGGCAAAACUAACACAUUGAUCUAACCAAAUGGAAUAAAUAUCUACCACAACAUAUUAAAAGCCAUAUUUUGAAGUGAGUGGGUGACUCUCGUCGUAACUUUUUGUCCAGAUCUGCAAGAUGUACAUAUUUUUUUUUUCAAAGCUCAGCAUAUUCACUGCUUAACUCUUCAGAAAUCUGGCUAUUUUUUUGGUGAGAUAAAUAAAAGAUGAAUUCACUUUAAAAUGUACUUCUUACAUACCAUAAUAAAAAAAGUAUCAGAA